UAAACCGGAAAACCUUCCCCGGUAUCAUUUUAAAUCAGAAGAAAAACUUUUUAGUGGAUAAACCGGAAAACCUUCCCCGGCAUUAUCUUAAAAGCAUCAUCUCAUAAAAGGACUUUUUCAUAAAACACGAGAGUAUUUUUUUCUGAAAGUCCUCCCUGCACAACUUGUUUUGCAGAGCUUGUUUUGCGUAGAUCGCCAGAAGGCUUGGGAUCAUCAUCUGAAGAAAGAGAUGAGGCUUUAUUUUAAGAGAUCGCCAGAAGGCUUGGGAUCAUCAUCUGAAGAAAGAGA
rnacentral:misc_RNA from 1 species